UGGUUGUAGGCAGUCACUGCCAAUGACGACACUCUUCACGCCACAGGGUGUGGAGUCGCCGACUUCGUGCUGGAUAUCUGUCUGGCGUCGCGAUGCGUCGGCGAGCCUCGAUGGCUGCGGACGAAGGCAGCGUAUGAAAAGUAUUUUUUGCUUAGGAAGGUGCCUAACAGUGAAGUGACCUAUUUUCAAAAAAAAACAAAAAGAAAAUGGACUGGUAUGGGUGUCGUUUUGGGGCAGGAGCACAAACAACCCAAGGUGUAUCCAUCCAUUUGAUAACCACUCCACAAAGGUUAAAUAGAUGGGAUUCCCUGCAAGUCACUCAGAACUGAAGAAGCCUCUUGGAUGAGAGGCGAAACAUCUUCAACCAAGUCUAGUUGCUCUUGAUCUUGAAAGCACUUUGGAUAACUAUUACCUGGAUGACGUUGCUCCUUAUUCAGUGCAGGCAGAGCUUUGAAACACAGCAGAAUUGUUACAGUCUUUUUUAGUAUUUUCUGUCAGGUCCAUGCUGCUUCUGCUUGCAACCAUGAAAUGUAAAACACCUCUUUACUUUCUUUUCUGUGGUCUGAUUUUCAGAAAAAUUCAUGUCACAAUGAAAAAUAAUUCAAACAGCUGUUGAAGACAGAAAGCUGAAUAAUUUACCUUUUGACGUCUUGUUCAAUUAACCAUAAGACAGUUAUUUCAUACAUAAAAAGGAAAUGCAUCUAACAAUGUGUUUGAACUCUUUCACUAAAAUAAGUAACUAUUUAUUAUAUCAAUGUAAAUAAAUGGAUAAUAUAGGAUAUAUUUGAGAAAACAGACAUGAUGUUUCAACAUUUUUUUGCAUUUUUUAAUCUCAUGUCUCAAUAAAAACCACAGGGAAAUUUCUUUUAAAUUUAAAAAUGAAAUAAAUGUUUAAGUAUAUGUAGCAAGUUUUAAUACAAUAAAGUUGUGUGAGUAAC